rnacentral:rRNA from 1 species
AUUGAACGCUGGCGGCAUGCUUUACACAUGCAAGUCGAACGGUAACAGGCCGCAAGGUGCUGACGAGUGGCGAACGGGUGAGUAAUGCAUCGGAACGUGCACAGUCGUGGGGGAUAACUACUCGAAAGAGUAGCUAAUACCGCAUACGAUCUAUGGAUGAAAGCGGGGGACCGUAAGGCCUCGCGCGAUUGGAGCGGCCGAUGUCAGAUUAGGUAGUUGGUGGGGUAAAGGCUCACCAAGCCAACGAUCUGUAGCUGGUCUGAGAGGACGACCAGCCACACUGGGACUGAGACACGGCCCAGCCUCCUACGGGAGGCAGCAGUGGGGAAUUUUGGACAAUGGGCGCAAGCCUGAUCCAGCAAUGCCGCGUGCAGGAAGAAGGCCUUCGGGUUGUAAACUGCUUUUGUACGGAACGAAACGGCUCUGGUUAAUACCCGGGGCUAAUGACGGUACCGUAAGAAUAAGCACCGGCUAACUACGUG